GAUGAACGCUGGCGGCGUGCCUAAUACAUGCAAGUCGAGCGAACAGACGAGGAGCUUGCUCCUCUGACGUUAGCGGCGGACGGGUGAGUAACACGUGGAUAACCUACCUAUAAGACUGGGAUAACUUCGGGAAACCGGAGCUAAUACCGGAUAAUAUAUUGAACCGCAUGGUUCAAUAGUGAAAGACGGUUUUGCUGUCACUUAUAGAUUGAUCCGCGCCGCAUUAGCUAGUUGGUAAGGUAACGGCUUACCAAGGCAACGAUGCGUAGCCGACCUGAGAGGGUGAUCGGCCACCCUGGAACUGAGACACGGUCCAGACUCCUACGGGAGGCAGCAGUAGGGAAUCUUCCGCAAUGGGCGAAAGCCUGACGGAGCAACGCCGCGUGAGUGAUGAAGGUCUUCGGAUCGUAAAACUCUGUUAUUAGGGAAGAACAUAUGUGUAAGUAACUAUGCACGUCUUGACGGUACCUAAUCAGAAAGCCACGGCUAACUACGUG
rnacentral:rRNA from 1 species